UGGGGAAUUUUGGACAAUGGGCGCAAGCCUGAUCCAGCAAUGCCGCGUGCAGGAUGAAGGCCUUCGGGUUGUAAACUGCUUUUGUACGGAACGAAAAGCCUCUCUCUAAUACAGGGGGGUGAUGACGGUACCGUAAGAAUAAGCACCGGCUAACUACGUGCCAGCAGCCGCGGUAAUACGUAGGGUGCAAGCGUUAAUCGGAAUUACUGGGCGUAAAGCGUGCGCAGGCGGUUUUGUAAGACAGUGGUGAAAUCCCCGGGCUCAACCUGGGAACUGCCAUUGUGACUGCAAGGCUGGAGUGCGGCAGAGGGGGAUGGAAUUCCGCGUGUAGCAGUGAAAUGCGUAGAUAUGCGGAGGAACACCGAUGGCGAAGGCAAUCCCCGUGGGCCUGCACUGACGCUCAUGCACGAAAGCGUGGGGAGCAAACAGGAUUAGAUACCCUGGUAGUCCACGCCCUAAACGAUGUCAACUGGUUGUUGGGGAUUUAUUUCUUCAGUAACGAAGCUAACGCGUGAAGUUGACCGCCUGGGGGAGUACGGCCGCAAGGUU
rnacentral:rRNA from 1 species